rnacentral:lncRNA from 13 species
GUUGUCACUUUGAAUGCCGGCCUUGACGCAGUGGCUGGCUCCGAGUAGUCCUGCUCUAAAAUGCUGCAGCCAGGCACCAAAGAGACUGGUCCUCUACUGCCCUCUGCAGUAGAAAUAGGGCGUUGCAGUCAGGGACAGGAGCUACCCAAGCCAUACAGGAGUUCCUGGUGUCCUGGUGGCCAGAUCUUCUAGUGUCUCCUUGGCAUAGCCACGGGCCUCCACGUUGAUGGACAGACAUGGAGCACAUGGGAUCAACUGUUCUGACACCUCUGGGAGAGGAAACUUGGAGAAGAAUCCCUCCCUUGUGCUCACUCCUCUCUGAGAAAAGUACUGGAUCUGUGGUCACCUACAAGUUUUCAGAUGGAUCAACAUCUCCUCAGGCAAGCAGGAAGGGAAAGAGAAUGUGAAGGCCACUCCUCUUCUUUUAAAGGAUAUGACCUUGAAGUUAUAUUAAAGGAUAUAACCUUGAAGUUGACCUUGAAUUGGUUAUUUUGCCCAUUAGUUGAUACAGUUUCUUCAUAGUGUUGAUG